UGGGGAAUUGUUCGCAAUGGGCGCAAGCCUGACGACGCAACGCCGCGUGGGGGAUGAAGGUCUUCGGAUUGUAAACCCCUGUCGAGCGGGACGAAUGGCUCGCGGUUGAACACACCGCGGGAAUGACGGUACCGCUAAAGGAAGCCACGGCUAACUCUGUGCCAGCAGCCGCGGUAAUACAGAGGUGGCAAGCGUUGUUCGGAAUUACUGGGCGUAAAGGGCGCGUAGGCGGCCUUCUAAGUCAGACGUGAAAUCCCCCGGCUUAACCUGGGAACUGCGUCUGAUACUGGAAGGCUUGAGUGCGGGAGAGGGAUGUGGAAUUCCAGGUGUAGCGGUGAAAUGCGUAGAUAUCUGGAGGAACACCGGUGGCGAAGGCGGCAUCCUGGACCGACACUGACGCUGAGGCGCGAAAGCUAGGGUAGCAAACGGGAUUAGAUACCCCGGUAGUCCUAGCCCUAAACGAUGAGUGCUUGGUGUGGCGGGUAUCGAUCCCUGCCGUGCCGAAGCUAACGCAUUAAGCACUCCGCCUGGGGAGUACGGUCGCAAGGCUGA
rnacentral:rRNA from 1 species